CCUUAGUAGCGGCGAGUGAAGCGGCAAGAGCUCAAAUUUGAAAUCUGAUACUUUCAGUAUCCGAGUUGUAAUUUGAAGAAAGUUAUCUUGGAGUUGGCCCUUGUCUAUGUUCCUUGGAACAGGACGUCACAGAGGGUGAGAAUCCCGUGCGAUGGGGUGCCCAUUCUAUGUAAGAUACUUUCGACGAGUCGAGUUGUUUGGGAAUGCAGCUCUAAGUGGGUGGUAAAUUCCAUCUAAAGCUAAAUAUUGGCGAGAGACCGAUAGCGAACAAGUACAGUGAUGGAAAGAUGAAAAGAACUUUGAAAAGAGAGUGAAAAAGUACGUGAAAUUGUUGAAAGGGAAGGGUAUUUGAUCAGACUGAUAUUCAGUUAACACUGUUCCUUGUGGACGGUGCUCUAGCUUUUUAUUGGGCCAGCAUCAGUUUAGGUGGCAGGAUAAGAACUGUUGAACGUGGCUCUUCGGAGUG
rnacentral:rRNA from 1 species